rnacentral:rRNA from 1 species
GACGAACGCUGGCGGCGUGCUUAACACAUGCAAGUCGAACGGAAAGGCCCUGCUUUUGUGGGGUGCUCGAGUGGCGAACGGGUGAGUAACACGUGAGUAACCUGCCCUUGACUUUGGGAUAACUUCAGGAAACUGGGGCUAAUACCGGAUAGGAGCUCCUGCUGCAUGGUGGGGGUUGGAAAGUUUCGGCGGUUGGGGAUGGACUCGCGGCUUAUCAGCUUGUUGGUGGGGUAGUGGCUUACCAAGGCUUUGACGGGUAGCCGGCCUGGGAGGGUGACCGGCCACAUUGGGACUGAGGGACGGCCCAGACUCCUACGUGAGGCAGCAGUGGGGAAUAUUGCACAAUGGGCGGAAGCCUGAUGCAGCAACGUCGCGUGCGGGAUGACGGCCUUCGGGUUGUAAACCGCUUUCGCCUGUGACGAAGCGUGAGUGACGGUAAUGGGUAAAGAAGCACCGGCUAACUACGUG